CGCCUAAAUGAAGUCCACACAGCAUGUUUAAGCUGAUAUUAACACUCGUCGCACACCACUACCCUCUCCCAGGGAUAGCGUAAACUAAGACUCGGCCUUUGACUCCUGCCCCUGCCAGGGAGACAAUCCCUACAAGCUCUGGCAAAGGAAAGAAAGUUCGCGCAAAAAGCUGACUCAAACCGCUGAACCUUCUGGGAAUUGUAGUCCACCCUCAAAAGAGUGGCACGGAGGACGGACCAGCGUCCGGUUCUGAGCCCGGGCCCGACCGAGCCCAGGAGACCUCUGGGAGCGCUGCCCGCCGAAGGAGUGCGCAGGCGCGGACUCUCCGGCUCGCCAUGGUGGUCUUUGUCUGCUGGCCUGCUUCCUUGUAGAUCCUUGGGAAUUGCAAAACCUCUAACAGCUCUAAGGGCUCUUGCCUGAAUUCUGGGAUGCUGCUUUGUUCCCCAACCAUAAUAUCCACGUCCAGUGUCAUUUUUCCGUUCACAAGUUUAAAGUCAGCACUUAAAACAAGAACAGCAAUGGAUGACUGAGAAAGAAAUGUAAAGAAGGUUCUCUUUAUAGUCUCGCUGUGUUGCCCAGGCUGGAG